UACUCAAAAUCACUGCGUCGUUGACUCAAGUUCCACGCCAUUGGCUGAUUUGAGCAUGGCGGGCUCAGUAGUUACUGUGGCCGCCGCGGAAGGCCGGCACGUACCCGUGCGCGCGAUCGCAUUGAAAUCGCAUUGAAAGCUGCGCGUUUGAAGAAAAAAAGAACAAGUGCUCAAGGUCACGAGGUGCCAUCCCUCCCUGCUUAGCUUCCAACACUUUUGUUGGGACGAGAGAAGAGAGAAAGCAAUUACAGCAUGCGAGAAAUCUUUGUAACUCCGCUCAUACUGGAAGGAUUCUCAAAAUUUUUUCAGCAGUCGAUUCGUGAGGCAAUAAGUUCCUUUAGUGAAGCCAUUCUAUAGCUACUUGGAAAAGUGUUGCAGGGCCCCUUUAAAAAAACCCCAGGUGGUCAAAAUUCCCAGAGAUCUCCACUACGACGUGCCUCAUAAUCAUAUCGUGGGUUUGGAACGAACAACCCCAACAAUUAUAUUAUAAUCUUAAAUUAUUUAAAAAUUUGGGGUGAGUGCUUGUUUUAUUUCGACCAUGGCACCACGCACCAUUGACAUGCAAACAUUCACAUUCUUCACAUGCUGCCACAAUGUCGAGCCCACUGCCAAGCACUCAAGAAUAGGAGGGUAGCAGAAACAUUGGAGCACAGAAUUAAAGAUGGUAGGACUGCUGAUUUGGCAGCAUGAAGCUAGCUUUCAGCAAUACAAUCUCUGCAGCCUUCAACUAUUUUAUCAGGCUGACUGGCACAUCUAGCUGCUCCUGGCUGCUAAACUACAGAAAAAAUUCACCCUGUUGGAAAAUGAUGUGCACAGUGAUAAAGCAGACAAGGGAUGAAAAGGAAUAAUGGAGGCAAGCACCUACUAAACCUUAUUUUCAUAAACACGCAAGUAACACAGUUACGGAGACGAAGUAGUUAUUCAUAAUCAGGGAGGAACACUCAAAGAUUAACUAGGUGCACCACCACCACCUGUGCAUUCUAGGCACACAGGUUCCUUUUCACACAGGGCGACUUACGGUUUGGCAAUAUAAUUACCUUUUGCAAUAACCACAGCUUCAGUAAUACUGCCACAUUGAGCACUGUGUAAAGCAAGAAGCCCUUCUCUCCCUCUCUCUUGAUUGCAAGAGCACAUUCGAAAAGUACAGGAAGGGGGAGAGGGGUUUCUCACUUUGGUUCGUGCUCAAUGUGAUUGCACCCUACUGGUUGAAGAUACCAAAAUAAUUGCAAGGCACGCAAGCGGUAGCACUAACUUUAUUAUUGCAGCUGUCACAAUUGCAAAAGGCAAUCAUGUUAGCAAACCAUCAGUUGCCCUGUAUAAAAAGGAACUGUUGUACCUAGAUUGCACAAGUAUGUGCAGUCUAGGUGAAUAUUUGUUAGUGUUCCUCACUCACUGUGGAUGACCAGUCUGUCUUUGUAUGCGUGUUUGGGUAGUUGCAUUUGUGAUCACGUAAACGUGCGUAUAUAUUUUGUGCUUAGGGAAAUAAAGUUCAUUUUACAGUCA
rnacentral:lncRNA from 1 species